rnacentral:rRNA from 1 species
UACGAAGGGGGCUAGCGUUGCUCGGAAUCACUGGGCGUAAAGGGUGCGUAGGCGGGUUUCUAAGUCAGAGGUGAAAUCCUGGAGCUCAACUCCAGAACUGCCUUUGAUACUGGAAGUCUUGAGUAUGGGAGAGGUGAGUGGAACUGCGAGUGUGGAGGUGAAAUUCGUAGAUAUUCGCAAGAACACCAGUGGCGAAGGCGGCUCACUGGCCCAUUACUGACGCUGAGGCACGAAAGCGUGGGGAGCAAACAGG